ACAUGCCUACAACAUAGCGUUAAUGCACCGAAUCCCAUUAGAACUUCGUAGUUAAGUGCUCUUAUGAUAGAGUAGUACUAGGAUGGGUGACCACUCGAGAAGUCCUAGUGUUUUACAUGCC
rnacentral:rRNA from 1 species